rnacentral:rRNA from 1 species
AGUGAACGCUGGCGGUAGGCCUAACACAUGCAAGUCGAACGGCAGCACAGGAGAGCUUGCUCUCUGGGUGGCGAGUGGCGGACGGGUGAGGAAUACAUCGGAAUCUACUCUGUCGUGGGGGAUAACGUAGGGAAACUUACGCUAAUACCGCAUACGACCUACGGGUGAAAGCAGGGGAUCUUCGGACCUCGCGCGAUUGAAUGAGCCGAUGUCGGAUUAGCUAGUUGGCGGGGUAAAGGCCCACCAAGGCGACGAUCCGUAGCUGGUCUGAGAGGAUGAUCAGCCACACUGGAACUGAGAAACGGGCCAGACUCCUACGGGAGGCAGCAGUGGGGAAUAUUGGACAAUGGGCGCAAGCCUGAUCCAGCCAUACCGCGUGGGUGAAGAAGGCCUUCGGGUUGUAAAGCCCUUUUGUUGGGAAAGAAAUCCAGCUGGCUAAUACCCGGUUGGGAUGACGGUACCCAAAGAAUAAGCACCGGCUAACUUCGUGCCAGCCGCCGCGGUAA